rnacentral:rRNA from 1 species
AAGCGGUGGAGCAUUGUGGUUUAAUUCGAUGAUACGCGAAGAACCUUACCGGGUUUGACAUGCAGGUGAUCGCCGUUGAAAGACGGUUUCCUCUUCGGAGGCACCUGCACAGGUGCUGCAUGGCUGUCGUCAGCUCGUGUCGUGAGAUGUUGGGUUAAGUCCCGCAACGAGCGCAACCCUUAUCCCCAGUUGCCAUCAGGUAAAGCUGGGAACUCUGGGGAGACUGCCGGUGAUAAACCGGAGGAAGGCGGGGAUGACGUCAAGUCCUCAUGGCCCUUACAUCCCGGGCUACACACGUGCUACAAUGGCAGGUACAGAGGGCUGCGAAGCCGCGAGGUGGAGCGAAUCCCAGAAAACCUGUCUCAGUCCGGAUUGAAGUCUGCAACUCGACUUCAUGAAGGCGGAAUCGCUAGUAACCGCGAAUCAGCAGGUCGCGGUGAAUACGUUCCCGGGCCUU